rnacentral:tRNA from 1 species
GCACCAGUAGUGUAGCGGUAUCAUUAUACCCUCUCAAGAUACAGACCCGGGUUCGACUCCCCGUUGGUGCA